UCUCUCUGUCCCCAGUUUCAGCCCAGGAUCACACAGGAGAAUCUCCUCUGGAUGGGCUUGGAUUGGUCCUAGAGGCCCUGGGUGUGCUGCUGACUGGCAUACCAGGAUGGCCAGGGGCAGCCCAGAGGGGCGCCAGGAGAGACCCUGGCCCUCACCACCCACCCCGCUCCCACAGCUGCUCUGACACUGGUUGCUCCAGGCCCAUGUACUCAGAGUCCCUGGGACUGAAAACCGCAGCAGCCUGUUCAAGCCCAGAGACAGUGGCCCACUCCCACACCAUGUGCCCUCUUCAGCUGCCCAGCAGGAGCCUGAGUCCUGGGUGAAGAUCUCCGCCUCUCAUCCCAGGGACUGAGGCUGGACCAGAGCCACCAUGUGGCCCCCGCAGUUUCCCACAGACGGGGCCUGAUGGCUUCCUUCCUUGUGCCAAGUCUCCUGGGAGCCCCCGUCCCAGUGGUCCCCUUCCACCCCAACUCUGUCCACCCAGGACCACUUCUGGGAGCCUGCCAGCCUGCUGACUCCAUCCGUCGAUCUCCGGGGCAGCCUCUGAGAGAUGAGAGCAACACGGGGCUGCAUGAGAGGAGAGGAGGACGAGGGGCCUCCUUGGGGCUGACACACAGAUGUGCCCCUUUCAAGCCCAGGUGUCACCCUCUGGGUGACUCCAGCAUCUUUCUGAGCCAGCCAGGCGGGGAGGAGGAAGGCCUGAGAAUGGCAUGAGGGAGGCUCUUCACUGAACGUGUGUGCGAGUGUGAGUGUGUGCGCGUGUGUGGUGGGGUGGGGUGCUGCUGUGGGGCAGGAUGAGCGCACUGGGUGCCUGGCCCUCCCUGGGCAAGUGGCUCAGCUCGACCUGCCUGGGGCCUAGGAGGCCACUUCCCCACAGACAGGGCACAGCCUCAGGGUCCCUGGCUCAGAGACCUCCUCUCCUCAGAGAGCCCCACCCCACACAGAGGGGCGCAGCAAGUCCAGAUGGCUCUGGCUCUGGCUGGCUGGGCUCAGAGGGGUUGGCGGUGGGUGGGUCCUCAGCCUGAGUUCCUGCCCCUGCUUUCCUUACCGUCUGGCCUUGAGUAGUUAGCACGCUUCUGCUCUCCCCCCUUCCCUCCUCCCCUGGGCCCUGGCUGCUCGACGGGCUCUCAGUGCACUUUAUUUAUUUGCAGCCUGCUUUUCAGGUAGCGGAGCUUCUACAAAAUCAAAGACCGACCUGAGUAAGACGACUUUCACUUUUCUGUGUGUGAACUCUGUACUGGCAGCACAAUCUGGUCAGAGAUAAUGGUCUUGUUCCUGGUGUUGUCACAUCUUGUUGUCUAAGUAAAAAAUAAUAAGUCCUUGAGUUCAAUAAAAUACAAUAAAACUGGAGGCCUCCUGUUUCUGGUGUGAUGCGGUAGCUUGUAGCUUUGGAGGAGAGAGGGGCGGGUGGUGAGGUCACCCUGCUGAUGGCCAGGAGCUACGGAGGGGAGCACCCUC
ensembl:lncRNA